rnacentral:rRNA from 1 species
CAGUCGCCGCGGUAAUACGUAGGUCCCGAGCGUUGUCCGGAUUUAUUGGGCGUAAAGCGAGCGCAGGCGGUUAGAUAAGUCUGAAGUUAAAGGCUGUGGCUUAACCAUAGUACGCUUUGGAAACUGUUUAACUUGAGUGCAGAAGGGGAGAGUGGAAUUCCAUGUGUAGCGGUGAAAUGCGUAGAUAUAUGGAGGAACACCGGUGGCGAAAGCGGCUCUCUGGUCUGUAACUGACGCUGAGGCUCGAAAGCGUGGGGAGCAAACAGGAUUAGAUACCCCAGUAGUCCCUGUCUCUUAUACA